ACGGGUGAGUAACGCGUGGGAAUCUACCGUGCCCUACGGAAUAACGCAUGGAAACGUGUGCUAAUACCGUAUACGCCCUACGGGGGAAAGAUUUAUCGGGGUAUGAUGAGCCCGCGUUGGAUUAGCUAGUUGGUGGGGUAAAGGCCUACCAAGGCGACGAUCCAUAGCUGGUCUGAGAGGAUGAUCAGCCACAUUGGGACUGAGACACGGCCCAAACUCCUACGGGAGGCAGCAGUGGGGAAUAUUGGACAAUGGGCGCAAGCCUGAUCCAGCCAUGCCGCGUGAGUGAUGAAGGUCUUAGGAUUGUAAAGCUCUUUCACCGGUGAAGAUAAUGACGGUAACCAGAGAAGAAGCCCCGGCUAACUUCGUGCCAGCAGCCGCGGUAAUACGAAGGGGGCUAGCGUUGUUCGGAAUUACUGGGCGUAAAGCGCACGUAGGCGGAUAUUUAAGUCAGGGGUGAAAUCCCAGAGCUCAACUCUGGAACUGCCUUUGAUACUGGGUAUCUUGAGUAUGGAAGAGGUAAGUGGAAUUCCGAGUGUAGAGGUGAAAUUCGUAGA
rnacentral:rRNA from 1 species